rnacentral:rRNA from 1 species
AUGAACGCUGGCGGCGUGCCUAAUACAUGCAAGUCGAACGAAACUUCUUUAUCACCGAGUGCUUGCACUCCCCGAUAAAGAGUUGAGUGGCGAACGGGUGAGUAACACGUGGGCAACCUGCCCAAAAGAGGGGGAUAACACUUGGAAACAGGUGCUAAUACCGCAUAACCAUAGUUACCGCAUGGUAACUAUGUAAAAGGUGGCUAUACUACCGCUUUUGGAUGGGCCCGCGGCGCAUUAGCUAGUUGGUAGGGUAAAGGCUUACCAAGGCAAUGAUGCGUAGCCGAAUUGAGAGGUUGAUCGGCCACAUUGGGACUGAGACACGGCCCAAACUCCUACGGGAGGCAGCAGUAGGGAAUCUUCCACAAUGGGCGAAAGCCUGAUGGAGCAACGCCGCGUGGGUGAAGAAGGUCCUCGGAUCGUAAAACCCUGUUGUUAGAGAAGAAAGUGCGUGAGAGUAACUGUUCACGUUUCGACGGUAUCUAACCAGAAAGCCACGGCUAACUACGUG